CGGAGGGUGCAAGCGUUAUCCGGAUUCACUGGGUUUAAAGGGUGCGUAGGUGGGCAAGUAAGUCAGUGGUGAAAUCUCCGGGCUUAACCCGGAAACUGCCAUUGAUACUAUUUGUCUUGAAUACUGUGGAGGUCAGCGGAAUAUGUCAUGUAGCGGUGAAAUGCUUAGAUAUGACAUAGAACACCAAUUGCGAAGGCAGCUGGCUACACAAAUAUUGACACUGAGGCACGAAAGCGUGGGGAUCAAACAGGAUUAGAUACCCUGGUAGUCCACGCCCUAAACUAUGGAUACUCGACAUUUGCGAUAAACUGCAAGUGUCUGAGCGAAAGCAUUAAGUAUCCCACCUGGAAGUACGAUCGCAAGAUUG
rnacentral:rRNA from 1 species